rnacentral:rRNA from 1 species
CGCUAUCACUCCUACGGGGAGGCAGCAGUAGGGAAUCUUCCACAAUGGGCGCAAGCCUGAUGGAGCAACACCGCGUGAGUGAAGAAGGGUUUCGGCUCGUAAAGCUCUGUUGUUUAAAGAAGAACACGUAUGAGAGUAACUGUUCAUACGUUGACGGUAUUUAACCAGAAAGUCACGGCUAACUACGUGCCAGCAGCCGCGGUAAUACGUAGGUGGCAAGCGUUAUCCGGAUUUAUUGGGCGUAAAGAGAGUGCAGGCGGUUUUCUUAAGUCUGAUGUGAAAGCCUUCGGCUUAACCGGAGAAGUGCAUCGGAAACUGGAUAACUUGAGUGCAGAAGAGGGUAGUGGAACUCCAUGUGUAGCGGUGGAAUGCGUAGAUAUAUGGAAGAACACUAGUGGCGAAGGCGGCUACCUGGUCUGCAACUGACGCUGAGACUCGAAAGCAUGGGUAGCGAACAGGAUUAGAUACCCUGGUAG